GAAUUUGUACAGAAGCAACCUGCUUUCAGUCAGCAUGCAAAGAAGCACAGGAAAGCAGCAUCAGGUUCAGCUACCCAAGACUUUCAGAUCUCAGAAGGCGUCUUGAAAAAUCAUCCUGAUCUUACUUGGUUCACGACUGCAUGCAAACACCUUUAAAAAGAAGGCUUAAAGCUGCCAGCAAGAACAACGCCGAGAUUCUCUGGACCUGGAGCAAGGGAGAAGCCCCAGCGAACCAUCAAACUUGUCCUAGGAGCCAAUGGAUAUUCCUCUUCUGCUGCAGCUUUUUGUACAGCUUGAGUUGCUUCUCACAGCACCACGGCUGGCAGUGUAAAAGAAGGACAUUGUUUUCGGUGCCACUGACACCGGGAAAUGGGACACCGAGAGGGGUCUGGAGACAGAUUGGAUCUUCCCCAGAGGUGCUUGGCCUGGACCCAUUUUUUAACUCUAAAAAGUGAAAUGAAUA
rnacentral:lncRNA from 1 species